rnacentral:lncRNA from 1 species
AACCAAAAAAUUUGGUCAGUGCCCACAUAUUUCAAACCUGCCCGUCACGAGAAAAGGCUCGUUUGGAAAUUAGGGUUAAGAUCGUUUUAAAUACCAGCGAGAAGAAAUCACUCUGUUCGCUUACAGUAACACAGAGCAUCUCAUCUGUAGGAUCGUGAACAGGGGAAGCUGGUGAGCAAACAUGAGAGCUAAGGUUGGUGGCCCUUUACCAAUUGUUUUCAAUCCAUUCACUUUUAGUACUUUAUUUCGUUCCUUUUUUAGCUCUUGUGGGAAAAUACUAGUUACUCGAUCCUCUUAAGUGCACUUUCACAACCAAUUUCGCCUUUAAAAAAAAUAAUAAUAAAAUUGCAAUGUCAAUCAUCGAUUUCCCAGUGUUAAACGGAGUGUUUAUCAUCUUUUUGUUACCUUGAUCCGUGAUAUUUUGAUUUUACUUGGAAUUUCGUAAGGCUGGUUUAUGGUUUUAUAGUUUAAUUGGCUAAGAACGUUCUCGUUCUAGUUGUACUGUAGCUGUUUCUUGGAUUCUUUUCGCCAAUCUCAUGUCGGAAUUUACAAGUGCUUGCCGUUCUAUAAUAUCACGUUAGACAAUGCAUGCCAUUUCCUAUGCUAAAUUAAAUAUGAAGAACCUAUUUAGUUUUUCUUUUUUUUGCUAGACAAAAUUAAAUAUACAACAUAACUAGAAUUUUAAUUGGGCCACAUUCCAGCCAAAUUCUUUUGAUUUCUUUUUGCCCUAUUGACUGCGUGUAUCAUGCUCUUAUAUACUAAUUUGGCAAGUGUUCCAGUGUCAAUCUUGGAUAAGGUUUGUUUAGUAGAAAGAAGUAAAAAGGAGAGCUAAAAUUAAGAGCAUGUUUGGCCUAAACACCUGUGAAACUGGAAAUAAGAGAAGACAUAGGCUUAACAAGCUGGAAAAUUGUUUAUUGCAGAUUUUUUUUUUUUUUUUUAAUUUCAAAAUUUGAACAAUGGGAAUGUGGUUGGCUAGCUCGGAAGGUUGUAAAUUUUUUUGAUGGGAACAAUAGGAUAAUGUUUCAUUUGGGGCAAUGAUCGACCUCUUAGAUUUAGCUUUUUGUAAAUGCUAAGUCUUCAUUCGUUUUGUAGUGGAAGAAGAAGCGAAUGAGGAGGUUGAAAAGGAAGCGCAGAAAGAUGAGACAAAGAUCCAAGUAGUGGAGGAUAGUAGUGGAUGGCGAAUUAGCUUCUUUUGCACGAACCAGUUUCUUCUUCAUUGUCUGCCCAACGAUCAAGAAGAGUGGAAAGAAGUUCUGUAGAUGGUGCCGUCUUGUUGUCUAUUCUACUCUCUCGAUUUUAUUCGGCUUUUUGUGGAAGUUUAGGUUGACUUGUGCGUUUUUACCGUCUACUUUCAUGUUUCCUAAUUAAAAGACCAUAUGACAUUUGUAUUAAAUCUGAGUAGGAAUGGAUGCAUGGUGUUUUCAGAUAUCAUUUGUGGCUUCUUUCAUUCCUUUCCUAUUUAUGGCCAGUGAUUAUGUACUACUUUUUGCUUCAUUCUUCGCUUCUUCAGAUGGUGAUAUUUUUUAUCCUUUUUUUUUUUAUCCUUUUUUUUUAAACUAUAUGGGUUUGAUAGUGGAGAAGAAG